rnacentral:tRNA from 1 species
GCCUUCGUGGGAUCAGCUGGUUAGAGCGCCGGUCUCAUAAUCCGGAGAUCGCCAGUUCAAUCCUGGCCGAGGGCA